rnacentral:tRNA from 1 species
GGGUGUAGGGAGGUGCCGUGACAAUGCCUAAAACUAGCUUUUAAUCAUGGGGUCUCGGGUUCGAAUCCCGACGGGCUCACCA